rnacentral:rRNA from 1 species
GUGAGGAAUAUUGCGCAAUGGAGGCAACUCUGACGCAGCCAUGCCGCGUGCAGGAAGAAGGCGCUACGCGUUGUAAACUGCUUUUAACCGGGAAGAAACCCCAGGACGUGUCCUGGGUUGACGGUACCGGAGGAAUAAGCACCGGCUAACUUCGUGCCAGCAGCCGCGGUAAUACGAAGGGUGCAAGCGUUAUCCGGAUUCAUUGGGUUUAAAGGGUGCGUAGGCGGAGCGUUAAGUCAGUGGUGAAAUCCUGCAGCUUAACUGUAGACUUGCCAUUGAUACUGGCGCGCUUGAGUGCGCUUGAAGUGGGCGGAAUGUGCCGUGUAGCGGUGAAAUGCUUAGAUAUGGCACAGAACACCAAUUGCGAAGGCAGCUCACUAAGGCGAUACUGACGCUGAGGCACGAAAGCGUGGGGAUCGAACAGGAUUAGAAACCCUAGUAGUCC